GACGAACGCUGGCGGCGUAGCUUAAAACAUGCAAGUCGAACGGACUUCUCAUGAAGCUUGCGAUUGAGAAGUUAGUGGCGGACGGGUGAGUAACGCGUGGGCAACCUGCCCCUGAGCCCGGGAUAACAGUUCGAAAGGACUGCUAAGACCGGAUAUACUUGCGGUGAAGCAUUUCACUGCAAGGAAAGGGAACGCUCAGGGAUGGGCCCGCGUCCCAUUAGCUAGUUGGUGAGGUAACGGCCCACCAAGGCGACGAUGGGUAGCCGGCCUGAGAGGGUGAACGGCCACACUGGGACUGAGACACGGCCCAGACUCCUACGGGAGGCAGCAGUUGGGAAUCUUCGGCAAUGGGCGCAAGCCUGACCGAGCAACGCCGCGUGAGUGAUGAAGGUUUUCGGAUUGUAAAGCUCUGUCUUCCGGGACGAUAAUGACGGUACCGGAGGAGGAAGCCACGGCUAACUACGUG
rnacentral:rRNA from 1 species